rnacentral:rRNA from 1 species
ACAACGGAGAGUUUGAUCCUGGCUCAGGAUAAACGCUAGCGGCAGGCCUAACACAUGCAAGUCGAGCGGUAACAGGAGUAGCAAUACUUGCUGACGAGCGGCAGACGGGUGAGUAAC